rnacentral:rRNA from 1 species
CCUACGGGUGGCAGCAGUGAGGGAUAUUGCACAAUGGGGGAAACCCUGAUGCAGCGACGCCGCGUGGGUGAAGAAGUAUUUCGGUAUGUAAAGCCCUAUCAGCAGGGAAGAAAGAAGACGGUACCUGACUAAGAAGCCCCGGCUAACUACGUGCCAGCAGCCGCGGUAAUACGUAGGGGGCGAGCGUUAUCCGGAUUCACUGGGUGUAAAGGGAGCGUAGACGGCCGUGCAAGCCAGGAGUGAAAGCCCGGGGCCCAACCCCGGGAAUGCUCUUGGAACUGGGCGGCUGGAGUGCGGGAGGGGCAGGCGGAAUUCCUGGUGUAGCGGUGAAAUGCGUAGAUAUCAGGAGGAACACCGGCGGCGAAGGCGGCCUGCUGGACCGCGACUGACGUUGAGGCUCGAAAGCGUGGGGAGCGAACAGGAUUAGAUACCCCAGUAGUC